UACGUAGGGUGCAAGCGUUGUCCGGAAUUAUUGGGCGUAAAGAGCUUGUAGGUGGUUCUGUAUGUCUACCGUGAAAGCGUACGGCUCAACCGUAUUUUGUCGGUAGAAACUGCAGGACUUGAGGCUGGGAGGGGCUGGUGGAAUUCCCUGUGUAGCGGUGAAAUGCGUAGAGAUGGGGGAGAACACUCGUGGCGAAGGCGGCCAGCUAGACCAGUUCUGACACUGAGGCGCGACAGCGUGGGGAGCAAACAGG
rnacentral:rRNA from 1 species